rnacentral:rRNA from 1 species
GUAGGUGACCUGCGGAAGGUCAUUAUCGUAGGGCUUCGGCCCUGUCGAGAUAGAACCCUUGCCUUUUUGAGUACCUUUUCGUUUCCUCGGCAGGCUCGCCUGCCAAUGGGGACCCCAAAAAAACACUUUGCAGUACCUGUAAACAGUCUGAACAAACUUUAAAAAUUAAAACUUUCAACAACGGAUCUCUUGGUUCUGGCAUCGAUGAAGAACGCAGCGAAAUGCGAUAAGUAGUGUGAAUUGCAGAAUUCAGUGAAUCAUCGAAUCUUUGAACGCACAUUGCGCCCUUUGGUAUUCCUUAGGGCAUGCCUGUUCGAGCGUCAUUUAAACCUUCAAGCUCAGCUUGGUGUUGGGUGACUGUCCGCUUGCGGACUCGCCUCAAAAUGAUUGGCGGCCGGUACUUUUGGCUUCGAGCGCAGCAGAAACGCGAACUCGAGGCCUGUGUGCUGGCUCCCAGAAGCUAUCUUCACAAUUUUGACCUCGGAUCAGGUAGGGAUACCCGCUGAACUUAAGCAUAUCAAUAAGCGGAGGAAAAGAAACCAACAGGGAUUGCCCUAGUAACGGCGAGUGAAGCGGCAACAGCUCAAAUUUGAAAUCUGGCUCUUUCAGGGUCCGAGUUGUAAUUUGUAGAGGGUGCUUUGGAGUUGACUGUGGUCUAAGUUCCUUGGAACAGGACGUCGCAGAGGGUGAGAAUCCCGUAUGUGGCCGCCAGUCUUCGCCGUGUAAAGCCCCUUCGACGAGUCGAGUUGUUUGGGAAUGCAGCUCUAAAUGGGAGGUAAAUUUCUUCUAAAGCUAAAUAUUGGCCAGAGACCGAUAGCGCACAAGUAGAGUGAUCGAAAGAUGAAAAGCACUUUGGAAAGAGAGUCAAAAAGCACGUGAAAUUGUUGAAAGGGAAGCGCUUGCAGCCAGACUUGCCUGUAGUUGCUCAUCCGGGCUUUUGCCCGGUGCACUCUUCUAUAGGCAGGCCAGCAUCAGUCCUGGCGGUCGGACAAAUGCCCGCUGAAUGUACCUCUCCUCGGGGAGGACUUAUAGCGGUGGGCGGCAUACGACCAGCCGGGAUUGAGGUCCGCGCAUCUGCUAGGAUGCUGCU